AAUUCUUGCCUUUUUUUUUUUUUUUUUUUUUUUUGUGCCUUGAAUAGCUUAGCCUACCUUUUAUAGCUUUCUGUUUCCUUGUAUGUGAAGUAGAAUUGGGGCGGCUGGCUAGUUUGUUGCUCCCUUCAGAGCUCUGAGGACUCUGAUUUAAAGCGAAUAAAUAGCACUGUCUUCCUGCCGGUUUAAUGUUGAAACUGUUCCCUGAUACCCAGCACUAGAGAUUAGGGACUGAGCCUGCGGUCUUGGACAUGCUAGGUAAACAUGCCCUUACAGCUCAGCUCUAUCUCCAGCCCCAGAGUUGUGUCUUCCAUUGUGCUUGCUGUGGAUGAGAUUUCUAAUUUGUAGCAUAAGGUUACUAGAGAGUGAUUUUACACCAAGCAAACAGAAAGCCAGGUCUUAUAGACACAGCUUUUCCAUUAAUCACUGACAGUUUUGUUUGUCUGUUUGAAUUGUAAGAUCUAUUUCAGUCAUCUCUUGUGGUAUGUGUGUGACAUAAUCCACAUUGCUUCAGGGGAGACUUCUUGUAUUCACCACAACAAAUGUCUCAAGUAUUUCUGGGAGUCAUCCACCUUGCUUCUCCAGCCUCCCGUUGUCUGGAGCAGCAUCAUAUUAGCUGUACCAGACUCAUCCACUUAUCUCUACCACUGCUAUCUUUAUAAUCCAGCCACUUUCCACCUGCAUUCUUGAUAAUCUCUCUUCUGCCGGGGAACUGUCCAUCACCACUGAGCGACUGCAGUGAGCUUCUAAAAACGUAAAUCGGAUUGCUCUUCUGUUAGAAAACACCGCAGUCAGGGCUGGGAACAUAGCUACAGAAGGCCCUGGGUUCAACACUCAGCAGCACCAAAACCGUAACCAAAAUGUAAGACCAUAAAACACCGCAGACCACUCUUACCCAGUUUAGAUGAAUCCAGCCUGACUAUCCCUGCUGUACAGGAGGUUAGGUCCCGGGCUGUGCCUCCCGUCACACUGGUCCCCUCCCCUUUGUCUAGCGUGUUCUAAUAAGGCCGGCCACCAGCCUGUGUCCCCCUUCUUUCAAACUCGAAAUGUGGCAAGUCUGAGUUGAAAUGUGCUCUGAGUAUAAAAUAGACCUCAAAUAAAAAUCUUAUUUUUAUAUUGACCUCAUUGUAAUGUUUUAAAUGUUUUAGAAAUAUUUGCUUAGACAAAUUGUCAAAAUUAAGUUCACUUUUUUUUUUCACUUUUAUUCAGUGAAGCUAUGAGAAAAUGAAACAUUACACAGGCAGCUCACAGUG
rnacentral:lncRNA from 1 species